rnacentral:tRNA from 1 species
GGAGGGAUGCGAGAGCGGACGAUUCGGCACGCCUGGAGAGCGUGUGUGGUCCUUGGGCCACCGUGGGUUCGAAUCCCACUCCCUCCG